UAUAUCAGUACGUGUUGGACUUCAGACCACUCCAAACAUGAAGUUUUUCAUUUCGUGUUCUUUACUUUUUUCACUUUUGUGUCUUUUGUAUUUACACCCCAUUGUUGACGCUAGUGUCGCCGUUGACGAGCCUCAUCCACAAAGAAAAUCUGGAGGAUGUUACUCUGAAGAAACUGGACAUCUACAAUCAGGACAGACGAUAACAGUUCCUGGAACAUGUACUUCUGCUUCUUGUAAUUCUGACGAGAGUAUUUCGCUCAAAAUAUGUGCUCUUAUUAGAACACGUGAUCCGAACUGUCACCUAAGUAAAAAGGAUCUGUCCAGACCUUAUCCGCAGUGCUGUCCAAGAAUAGUUUGUGCUAAAUAAUGCAUCA